UGAGGAAUAUUGCACAAUGGGCGCCAGCCUGAUGCAGCAACGCCGCGUGAGGGACGAAGGCCUUCGGGUCGUAAACCUCUUUUCUGGGGGAAGAGACAGGACGGUACCUCGGGAAUAAGUCUCGGCUAACUACGUGCCAGCAGCCGCGGUAAAACGUAGGAGGCGAGCGUUAUCCGGAUUUACUGGGCGUAAAGCGCACGCAGGCGGUGGGGUAAGUCGGAUGUGAAAGCUCCUGGCUUAACUGGGAGAGGUCGUUCGAGACUGCCUGGCUUGAGGUUGGGAGAGGGGUGUGGAAUUCCCGGUGUAGUGGUGGAAUGCGUAGAGAUCGGGAGGAACACCAGUGGCGAAGGCGGCACCCUGGCCCACACCUGACGCUGAGGUGCGAAAGCGUGGGGAGCAAACAGG
rnacentral:rRNA from 2 species